rnacentral:rRNA from 1 species
GCACCUACGGGGGGCUGCAGUGAGGAAUAUUGGGCAAUGGACGAAAGUCUGACCCAGCAACGCCGCGUGGAGGAUGAAUGCCGUAAGGUUGUAAACUCCUUUUGAAGGGGACGAAAAAUUCCGAUAGCAUCGGAACUUGACUGUACCCUUAGAAGAAGCCCCGGCUAACUACGUGCCAGCAGCCGCGGUAAUACGUAGGGGGCAAGCGUUGUCCGGAUUUACUGGGUGUAAAGGGCGCGUAGGCGGAUCUGUUAGUCAAGGGUGAAAUCCGACAGCUUAACUGUAGAACUGCCUUUGAUACUGCAAAUCUUGAGUUCGGAAGAGAGUAGCGGAAUUCCAGGUGUAGUGGUGAAAUACGUAGAUAUCUGGAAGAACACCAGUGGCGAAGGCGGCUACUUGGUCCGUAACUGACGCUGAGGCGCGAAAGCGUGGGGAGCAAACAGGAUUAGAUACCCCUGUAGUCC